rnacentral:rRNA from 1 species
GACGAACGCUGGCGGCGUGCUUAACACAUGCAAGUCGAACGGAAAGGCCCCUUUUGGGGUAUUCGAGUGGCGAACGGGGGAGUAACACGUGAGUAACCUGCCCUUGUCUUCUGGAUAACUUCAUGAAACAGGGGCUAAUAUCGUGUAGGGAUCCUUGCUGCAUGUGGGGGGUUGGAAAGCUUCGUCGGUGUUGGAUGUACUCUCGGCUUAUAAGCUUGUUGGGGGGGGAGUGUUUUAUCCAGGCUUUUACGGGUAGCCGGCCUGAGAGGGGGAGGGGACAUAUUGGGACUGAGACAGGGCCCAGACCUACGCGGGAGAGAGGAGUGGAGAAUAUUGCAAAAUGGGCGGAAGUCAGACGCAGAAACGGCGCGGGCGAGAUGGGGGCCUUCGGGUUGUAAACCGCUUUCAGAAGGCGAGAAGCUUGUGGUGACGGUACCUGUAGAAGAAGCACCGGCUAACUACGUG